UCCUACGGGAGGCAGCAGUGGGGAAUAUUGGACAAUGGGCGAAAGCCUGAUCCAGCCAUGCCGCGUGUGUGAAGAAGGUCUUCGGAUUGUAAAGCACUUUAAGUUGGGAGGAAGGGCAGUUACCUAAUACGUGAUUGUUUGACGUACCGACAG
rnacentral:rRNA from 1 species